rnacentral:rRNA from 1 species
UACGAGUGCCCCAAGCGUUAUCCGGAAUUAUUGGGCGUAAAGGGUGUGUAGGUUGUCUUGUUAGUCUUCUGUGAAAGGUUUCCGGCCCAACCGGAGAAACGCAGGGGAAACGGCAAGACUGGAGGAUGCGAGAGGUCUAUAGAACUCAUGGUGUAGGGGUGAAAUCCGUUGAUAUCAUGGGGAAUACCAAAUGCGAAGGCAGUAGACUGGCGCACUCCUGACACUGAAACACGAAAGCGUGGGUAGCGAACUGG